rnacentral:rRNA from 1 species
GACAGAGGGUGCAAACGUUGUUCGGAAUUACUGGGCGUAAAGCGCGUGUAGGCGGCCCUGCAAGUCGGGUGUGAAAUCCCAUGGCUCAACCAUGGAAGUGCACUCGAAACUGCAGGGCUAGAGUCCUGGAGAGGAAGGUGGAAUGCUUGGUGUAGAGGUGAAAUUCGUAGAUAUCAGGAAGAACACCAAUGGCGAAGGCAGCUCUCUGGGACGGUACUGACGCUGAGACGCGAAAGCGUGGGGAGCGAACAGG